UGUAAUUCACAAGCUUAUGUAAUGCGAAGCCAAGUGUAAUUGAGGAACAUCGAUAGUGUUUUUAUUUAGAUGGACAUAUUGACGAAACAAGAAGUGCACGAAGAAACGUCAUACAUUGAUUACCAAGUACACAUAAGUCCACAAUAACGAUAAAAAUCUAUACUUGGUUUUCUUAUUUAUUAUUUUUCUUUUAUUAGUUAUUUUUUCCCAUCCUCAUAGAUGGAUUUCUUAGUAAGAUAGUCGAGUGAACAAGUAGUUCAUAAGAAACAUAUAUCACCAAGUACGUAUAUGGUCUGUAAUUGGCUUUCCUUAUUAUUAGCUUUUCCUUUAUUAUUCAAACUUUCCCUCCUCCUGGGCAUGGGGUUACGAUAAUAUCGCCCCUUAUAACGGUAUUAUUCCAUGCCGGCCUUUGUAGAACUGUCUGAAAAAAUGCAUAUCCCCGAGCAAACCUAAAUGUUUUGGUGCCACCAACUAUUGGAACUUCUCUCGCCGUACCACCAACUUGUAAGUUAUAUCCUGGUCCUUGGAAUUCCAAUGUGCUACCGUUGUAUUGUGAGUUGGAGAAAAGGAGGGAAAAUAUGCCCUGUGAGGUUGAUCCAUCACGGGAUGAAGCUAUAUAAAUGCCUUAGGCCCGGCCAAUAGUUGGAGAAUUGUUGCUGAUGCCUUGUGUCAUGUUAGCAUCAUUAACAAUAAUGGUUCCAAAAUUGGAGAGAGUUCUCGGCAUACCAGGGGCGCCGGCAACUGCAACACUGGUGGUAUUUGGUCCGCCCGUAAACACUUGAAGGUACACAGUAAUAUUUGUUUCCUUUCCACGGCAGCAACCGUAAGGUCCAAGAAGAUCAGCUUCUAAACAAACAAAGAUUGCUAGUAAUAGCACAAGGGUAAUUUGGAUGGAUGCUAAAGCUGAACCUUUUGCCAUUUUGUAUGUUGAAAGGCUAGCUGAAAAACAAAGAAGGAAGAAACAAAAUAGUUAGAUGGUGAAGAUAAUUUGUUCAAUGACCGUAUUUAUAGGAUGGAGGAGGUAGCAGUUGCAAAUGGUUAUAGUAGAACAAUUAAAUCAAUCUUGACUUUUGAUUUUUCCACAUACAAAUGGUUUAAAUGAAAUAAUAUUACAUUACAAAGAGUUAGGUAUAGCACAAAAAGUUUUAAAAGACAAUUAAACAUCAAUGGGUCGCCACCUAUCACAAUAGGUUUGUGUAAUGGUGUGGUGUACUCAGCAGAUAUAUCAUUUAAAGUUCAGAGCCAAGAAUUUCUUUUGAUAUAUAGUGGGAUAAUGGAGAACCUUGAAAACAUGAAACACAUUUCCCUAAAAAAAAAUGAAACACAUUCAAUAAGAUUCUGGAAAAGGAUUAACUCCACUCUGCAUUUUCAAACCUGUACCACUUUAACAAGGUUCCAAACAUAUACUCAGUAGAUAAAUUAAUGCCGACUUUUGAUUUUUCUGCAUAUAAAUGUUUUAAAUGAAAUAGGAUUGCAUUUGAAAGAGUUAGGUAGAGCCUAUAAAGUUUUAAAAGAGAAUUAAACCUCAAUGGGUGGCCAACUAUCAUAGUAGGUUAGUGUAGAAUGGUGUGGUAUACACGGCAGAUAUCAUUCAAAAUUCAUAGUUAAGAAUUCCUUUUGGUGAUGGUAAUCCAGGAGGGUGCCCUCGGGCAAACGGGGCUGGGGGGGAGGGAGAAUUUUUUGCCCCAUUAAAAAACAGGGCAGACGGCGAGGGAGUAUACCCCCACCCCAUCCCCCGCCCCAUCACCCGUUAUAAACAAUUAAAUUUAUAUGUAUAUAAUUAUAUAUGUGAUAUUUAAUUUAAAUAGUUACAAAUUUACAAUAAUGAUAUUAUUAGUUAUAAGUAUUACAUAAUGUAUAUUAGUAUUCGUACUAUAAUUGAUAUUAUCAAAUGCUAACAAUUAUACAUGUCUGCUAAUAGAAAUUGUUAAUUAGUUAUAUCAAAUUUACUAACACAUUUAUACUAAGUUCCUAAUUAUACUUAACACAAUAACAUUUUUUUCUCAAAAAAUCACACAACAAUGAUUUAGUGAUUGUAUUUGUAUCAAAAGUGAAAACUUGACUACUUUAGUUGUGUUUGUUUCAUCAUAUUGGAUUGCAUUUAAAUAAAUUUUGUUUAAUUGUUUUUAUGACUUACAAUUGUGAAAUUACAAUGGAUAAUGAUUUGGUGAUGUGUUGACAUUUAAGUAUUUGAUCCUUUGGUCAAAUUUGACUACAAUAAAAUUGUAUGACAAAUUUUUAUUCACCCUGUGGGUGUGCCCGUAGGGAAGCGGGGCAAGGCGGGGACGGGGCAGGGGAGGAGUCCCCCGUCUAACCCCCGCCCCAUUGCCAUUCCUAAUUUCUUUUGCUAUAUAGUGUAAUAAUGGAAACCUUGAAAACUUGAAACAGAUUUACCAAAAAAAAAUGAAAUACAUUUAAUAGGGCUCCGAAAAAUGACUAACUCCACUUUGCACAUUCGAAUUUGUACCGAUUUAACAAUGUUCCAAACUUAUACACAGGAGAUAAAUCAAACUUGACUUAAUGGUUCAAAUGAAAUAAGAUUACUUUUCAAGGAGUUUGGUAGAGCAUAAAAAGUUUUAAAAGAGAAUUAAACCUCAAUGGAUGGCCACCUAUCAAAGUAGCUUUGUGUAGAAUGGUGUGGUAUACAUAGCAGAUAUAUCAUUCAAAGUUCAGAGUCAAGAAUUUCUUUUGCUAUAUAAAUAGUGAGAUAAUGGAAAGCCUUGAAAUCUUGAAACACUUUUGCCUAAAAAACAAAUUACAAAACAAUGAAACACAUUUCACAAGGUUCUGGAAAGAAUUAACUCCGCUUUGCACCUUCGAACUUCUACCACUUUAAUAAGGUUCCGAAUUUACAUUGAGUAGCUAAAUCAAUCUUGAUUUUUGAUUUUUCUCCAUAUAAAUGGUUUGAAUGAAAUGUGAUUACAUUUGUAAGAGUUAGGUAGAGCGUCAAAAGUUUUAAGAGAGAAUUCAAUAUAAAUGGGUAGCCACCUAUGAAAAUAGGUUUGUAUAGAAUGGUGUACUUAGCAGAUGUAUCAUUCAAAGUUGAUAGUCAAGAAUUUCUUCUGUUGUAUUGUGGGAUAAUGGAAAAACUUUAAAACUUGAAACAAAAUUACCUUAAAAAAAAAUAAGGAAACACAUUUAAUAAGGUUCUAGAAAAGGAUUAACUUAACUUUGCAUCUUCAAACUUAUCCCACUUUUUCAUUUUAUACAUAAAAUUUUAAUUUUGAACACUUUGCACCCUAAGCUUUACUUUCACCUUUUAGUCUAGGGCCAUUCAUGUUUGCAAAUUGCAUAAGAGCCACUCAUUUUCUUGUUAGUUACGUGUAGUAAUAGGCUUUUAGCAUCCUCUCAUUAAAAAAUUAAUUUAAAAAAAUGUCCAAGCAUAGGUUUCAAUUUUGUAGUUGAAAUUGAAAAUGUUCACGCAUGUUUGGCUAUUUACACGCCAUAUAGGCUUUCAACCUCCUAACCCUAAAAUUUAGGGGGUUUGGGGGGAAGGGGAGGGUUGGAUGAAGAACAGAGAUUGAAAUAAUAAAUCUUUUGUAGCCUUCAUUAAGGCGUUGGUCGAAUAAGAGAAUGUCUGAAGAGAAAUUAGAAUGAAACAAAUACCUUAAUUGCCCUAACGAAAUGCAAUUGAAUAUAGUUCUCGAGAAUGUAAUUUCUGUUGAUUUCUAUGUAGCUGGUUGUUGUAAAAUUUGUCUGAAGAGACAAUCGAAUACCCCCAAAAUUCGCCGAAUUCCUAACAGUUCACAUAUCUUUUGGAGUCGGAUUACAAGUCCGCGUAUGUCUCCCUUAUUUAGAGGUGAAAAUAACAAAAAAAAAACACAAAAGUUGACUUUUCUGAUAAUAUGUUUUUGCUCCGUCCAAUCCACAUAUGUUUAUAUACGAUUCAGCAGUAAAAUUGAAGAAAAGCUCAAAAGUUGACUUUCCCGUUUUAUAAGGAAUUGACUAACUAUUUUGUGGCCAAACCAUUAUCCAUCUUGACCAUCUAAAUGGUGAAUUGCACUUUAAGCUUAAUGCUCAAUAAAAUAGAAGUUCUUAACCAUGUUAGAAAAAAUAGAUGGAAAGGUCUUUUGUCACCUUUUAUUAGUUGUGGUAGUUAUAUAGCAGAAGGAUUACCAUUUGUUAAACUGAGUAAAAGAUUAUUUUUCAUAAAGCAAGUUGGAUGUACAUCAUAUGUAAAACAAAAGUUAUGAAAAAUAAAGACUACCUUACAAUUAGACUUGGUGUACAAUUAUCAGUUCAAGCGAAUUCCGCAAUUAGGUGAAGAUUUUAUCUAAGUUUCAAUACACAUCUUUAUUAGUAAACGCACAUAUCUUAUUUUAACACAUUCACGAGCAUACGUAAUUGAAGAACACCAAUAGUGUAAUUCACAAGCUUACGUAAUGCGAAGCCAAGUGUAAUUGAAGAACAUCAACAGUGUUUUUAUUUAGAUGGACAUAUUGACGAAACAAGAAGUGCACGAAGAAACGUCAUACAUUGAUUACCAAGUACACAUAAGUCCACAAUAACGAUAAAAAUCUAUACUUGGUUUUCUUAUUUAUUAUUUUUCUUUUAUUAGUUAUUUUUUCCCAUCCUCCUUGAUGGAUUUCUUAGUAAGAUAGUCGAGUGAACAAGUAGUUCAUAAGAAACAUAUAUCACCAAAUACGUAUAUGGUCUGUAAUUGGCUUUCCUUAUUAUUAGUUAUUCCUUUAUUAUUCAAACUUUCCCUCCUCCUGGGCAUGAGAUUACGGCAAUAUCGCCCCUUAUAACGGUAUUAUUCCGUGCCGGCCUAUGUAGAACUGUCUGAAAAAAUGCAUAUCCCCGAGCAAACCUAAACAUUUUGGUGCCACCAAUUAUUGGAUCUUCUCUCGCCGUACUACCAAUUUGUAAGUUAUAUCCUGGUCCCUGGAAUUCCAAUGUGCUACCGUUGUAUUGGAAGUUGGAGAAAAGGAAGGAAAAUAUGCCCCGUGAGCUUGAUCCACCAUCACGGGAUGAAGCUAUCUCAAUGCCUUGGGCCCGACCAAUAGUUGGAGAAUUGUUGCUGAUGCCUUGUGUUAUGUUAAAAUCAUUAACAAUAAUGGUUCCAAAAUUGUAGGGAGUUCUCGGCAUACCAGGGGCGCCGGCAACUGCAACACUGGUGGUAUUUGGUCCGCCCGUAAACACUUGAAGGUACACAGUAAUAUUUGUUUCCUUUCCACGGCAGCAACCGUAAGGGUCAAGAAGAUUAGCUUCUGAACUAACAAAAAUUGCUAGUAAUAGCACAAGGGAAAUUUGGAUGGAUGCUAAAGCUGAACCUUUUGCCAUUUUGUAUGUUGAAAGGCUAGCUGAAAAACAAAGAAGGAAGAAACAAAAUAGUUAGAUGGUGAAGAUAAUU
rnacentral:lncRNA from 1 species